GUAUAAGAGACAGCAGUAGCCGCGGUAAUACGGAGGGUGCAAGCGUUAAUCGGAAUUACUGGGCGUAAAGCGUGCGUAGGCGGCUUCUUAAGUCGGAUGUGAAAUCCCUGUGCUUAACUUAGGAAUUGCAUUCGAUACUGGGAAGCUAGAGUAUGGGAGAGGAUGGUAGAAUUCCAGGUGUAGCGGUGAAAUGCGUAGAGAUCUGGAGGAAUACCGAUGGCGAAGGCAGCCAUCUGGCCUAAUACUGACGCUGAGGUACGAAAGCAUGGGGAGCAAACAGGAUUAGAUACCCGCGUAGUCCCUGUCUCUUAUAC
rnacentral:rRNA from 1 species